rnacentral:tRNA from 1 species
GUGGGUCUUAGUUUAAUAAAAGCAGCUGAGUUGCAGUCAGCAGAUGUAGAUUAGAGUUUUGCAGGCCCU